CAGUCGCCACGGUAAUACCGAGGGUGCAAGCGUUAAUCGGAAUUACUGGGCGUAAAGCGCGCGUAGGUGGUUUGUUAAGUUGGAUGUGAAAUCCCCGGGCUCAACCUGGGAACUGCAUCCAAAACUGGCAAGCUAGAGUAUGGUAGAGGGUGGUGGAAUUUCCUGUGUAGCGGUGAAAUGCGUAGAUAUAGGAAGGAACACCAGUGGCGAAGGCGACCACCUGGACUGAUACUGACACUGAGGUGCGAAAGCGUGGGGAGCAAACAGGAUUAGAGACCCCCGUAGUCCCUGUCUCUUAUAA
rnacentral:rRNA from 1 species